UCCCUGGUAGUCCAGUGGUUAAGACUCUGCAUUUUCAAUGCAGGGAGCAAUGGUUCAGUUCCUGAUUGAGGAA
rnacentral:tRNA from 1 species